AAGACCUUGCGCUUUUGGAGCGGCCGAUGCCUGAUUAGCUUGUUGGUGAGGUAAAAGCUCACCAAGGCUUCGAUCAGUAGCUGGUCUGAGAGGACGACCAGCCACACUGGGACUGAGACACGGCCCAGACUCCUACGGGAGGCAGCAGUGGGGAAUUUUGGACAAUGGGGGCAACCCUGAUCCAGCCAUGCCGCGUGAGUGAAGAAGGCCUUCGGGUUGUAAAGCUCUUUCAGCCGGAACGAAACGGUCACGGCUAAUACCUGUGACUACUGACGGUACCGGAAGAAGAAGCACCGGCUAACUACGUGCCAGCAGCUGCGGUAAUACGUAGAGUGCGAGCGUUAAUCGGAAUUACUGGGCGUAAAGCGUGCGCAGGUGGUUUUGUAAGUCAGAUGUGAAAUCCCCGGGCUUAACCUGGGAACU
rnacentral:rRNA from 1 species